CUCAGUGGAUGUGGAUUCCUGAAAACGUGCUGUCAGAAAAAGGAAACGGGUACCUGCUCAUCGAUGCACGGAUCCUGUCAAAACAAAUCGAUGCCAUGCGCCGGACUUGUACACGGAAACAUGAAAUGCCAACAUGGACAGCACUGCUGUGUCCCCACUGUGCACUAGGGAAACUUGGUGACUGCAAGUACGCGGUUUUCACUGGUGUCUGUGGAUGACUUUUUCAUUCUUCUUGUGAUGCGUUUUAUGGAAUAAGCCUAAUAAAGGUUCGUAUAUUGCGUGAA
rnacentral:lncRNA from 1 species